AAGUCGUAACAAGGUCUCUGUAGGUGAACCUGCGGAGGGAUCAUUACACAACAAAAAUAUGAGGGUGUGGUUUGCUGGCAACAGCGUCCGCCCCAAGUAUUUUUCACCCAUGUCUUUUGCGCACUUUUUGUUUCCUGGGCGAGUUCGCUCGCCACCAGGACCCAACCAUAAACCUUUUUUUAUGCAGUUGCAAUCAGCGUCAGUAUAAUAAUUCAAUUUAUUAAAACUUUCAACAACGGAUCUCUUGGUUCUG
rnacentral:misc_RNA from 1 species